GCAGUAUCUCAGUGGUGGAUCAUCUGCUUUGCAUGCAGAAGGUCCCCAGUUCAAUUCCUGGUAUCUCCA